GAAAUGCGAUAAGUAAUGUGAAUUGCAGAAUUCAGUGAAUCAUCGAAUCUUUGAACGCACCUUGCGCUCCUUGGUAUUCCUUGGAGCGUGCCUGUUUUAGUAUCAUUAAAUCUUCAAAGUAAAUCUUUUGUUAACUCAAUUGGUUUCUACUUUGGUAUUGGAGGUCUUUGCAGCUUCACACCUGCUCCUCUUUGUUCAUUAGCUGGAUCUCAGUGUUAUGCUUGGUUCCACUCGGCGUGAUAAGUUAUCUAUCGCUGAGGACACUGUAAAAGGUGGCCAAGGUAAAUGCAGAUGAACCGCUUCUAAUAGUCCAUUGACUUGGACAAUACUUUUAUGAUCUGAUCUCAAAUCAGGUAGGACUACCCGCUGAACUUAAGC
rnacentral:misc_RNA from 1 species